rfam:Nematostella vectensis strain CH2 x CH6 NEMVEscaffold_699_Cont31936, whole genome shotgun sequence.
CGUAUAGCCGCUGACUCGCGAAAUCCUCUCGUAGCGAGGAUUUCGCGAGUCAGCGGCUACACG